GUCCAGGUCCUAUGCAAGGAACGUUUUCAAACCCCGUCAGAUCCGGAAGGAAGCAGCGGUAGAAAGUCGCUUUCUGUGCCGUAGAUCGCCUGGGCUCUU
rnacentral:SRP_RNA from 1 species